AUGGCGAGUGGCGAACGGGUGAGUAAUACAUCGGAACGUGCCCUGUAGUGGGGGAUAACUAGUCGAAAGAUUAGCUAAUACCGCAUACGACCUGAGGGUGAAAGUGGGGGACCGCAAGGCCUCAUGCUAUAGGAGCGGCCGAUGUCUGAUUAGCUAGUUGGUGGGGUAAAGGCCCACCAAGGCGACGAUCAGUAGCUGGUCUGAGAGGACGAUCAGCCACACUGGGACUGAGACACGGCCCAGACUCCUACGGGAGGCAGCAGUGGGGAAUUUUGGACAAUGGGCGAAAGCCUGAUCCAGCAAUGCCGCGUGUGUGAAGAAGGCCUUCGGGUUGUAAAGCACUUUUGUCCGGAAAGAAAUGGCUCUGGUUAAUACCUGGGGUCGAUGACGGUACCAGAAGAAUAAGGACCGGCUAACUACGUGCCAGCAGCCGCGGUAAUACGUAGGGUCCAAGCGUUAAUCGGAAUUACUGGGCGUAAAGCGUGCGCAGGCGGUUGUGCAAGACCGAUGUGAAAUCCCCGAGCUUAACUUGGGAAUUGCAUUGGUGACUGCACGGCUAGAGUGUGUCAGAGGGGGGUAGAAUUCCACGUGUAGCAGUGAAAUGCGUAGAGAUGUGGAGGAAUACCGAUGGCGAAGGCAGCCCCCUGGGAUAACACUGACGCUCAUGCACGAAAGCGUGGGGAGCAAACAGGAUUAGAUACCCUGGUAGUCCACGCCCUAAACGAUGUCAACUAGUUGUUGGGGAUUCAUUUCCUUAGUAACGUAGCUAACGCGUGAAGUUGACCGCCUGGGGAGUACGGUCGCAAGAUUAAAACUCAAAGGAAUUGACGGGGACCCGCACAAGCGGUGGAUGACGUGGAUUAAUUCGAUGCAACGCGAAAAAC
rnacentral:rRNA from 1 species